rnacentral:rRNA from 1 species
UACGGGGGGGGCAAGCGUUGUUCGGAAUUACUGGGCGUAAAGGGCUCGUAGGCGGCCAACUAAGUCAGACGUGAAAUCCCUCGGCUUAACCGGAGAACUGCGUCCGAUACUGGAUGGCUUGAGUUUGGGAGAGGGAUGCGGAAUUCCAGGUGUAGCGGUGAAAUGCGUAGAUAUCUGGAGGAACACCGGUGGCGAAGGCGGCAUCCUGGACCAACACUGACACUGAGGAGCGAAAGCCAGGGGAGCAAACGGG